AGAACGAACGCUGGCGGCAUGCCUAAUACAUGCAAGUCGAACGAACACUUCGGUGUUAGUGGCGCACGGGUGCGUAACGCGUGGGAAUCUGCCCUUGGGUUCGGAAUAACAGUUGGAAACGACUGCUAAUACCGGAUGAUAUCGAAAGAUCAAAGAUUUAUCGCCCAGGGACGAGCCCGCGUAGGAUUAGCUAGUUGGUGAGGUAAAGGCUCACCAAGGCGACGAUCCUUAGCUGGUCUGAGAGGAUGAUCAGCCACACUGGGACUGAGACACGGCCCAGACUCCUACGGGAGGCAGCAGUAGGGAAUAGUUGGACAAUGGGCGCAAGCCUGAUCCAGCAAUGCCGCGUGAGUGAUGAAGGCCUUAGGGUUGUAAAGUCUUCUUUACCGAGAUGAUAAUGAC
rnacentral:rRNA from 1 species